rnacentral:rRNA from 1 species
UACGUAGGGCGCAAGCGUUGUCCGGAAUUAUUGGGCGUAAAGAGCUCGUAGGCGGCUUGUCACGUCGGUUGUGAAAGCCCGGGGCUUAACCCCGGGUCUGCAGUCGAUACGGGCAGGCUAGAGUGUGGUAGGGGAGAUCGGAAUUCCUGGUGUAGCGGUGAAAUGCGCAGAUAUCAGGAAGAACACCAAUGGCGAAGGCAGCUCUCUGGGACGGUACUGACGCUGAGACGCGAAAGCGUGGGGAGCGAACAGG